rnacentral:rRNA from 1 species
AACGAACGCUGGCGGCAGGCUUAACACAUGCAAGUCGAACGCAUCGCAAGAUGAGUGGCAGACGGGCGAGUAACGCGUGGGAACAUACCCUUUUCUACGGAAUAGCUCUGGGAAACUGGAAUUAAUACCGUAUACGCCCUACGGGGGAAAGAUUUAUCGGGGAAGGAUUGGCCCGCGUUGGAUUAGCUAGUUGGUGGGGUAAAGGCCUACCAAGGCGACGAUCCAUAGCUGGUCUGAGAGGAGGAUCAGCCACAUUGGGACUGAGACACGGCCCAAACUCCUACGGGAGGCAGCAGUGGGGAAUAUUGGACAAUGGGCGCAAGCCUGAUCCAGCCAUGCCGCGUGAGUGAUGAAGGCCUUAGGGUUGUAAAGCUCUUUCACCGAUGAAGAUAAUGACGGUAGUCGGAGAAGAAGCCCCGGCUAACUUCGUGCCAGCCGCCGCCGUAAGAC